GUCUCGGGCCGAGUUGACCUGAUUGUUUACGCCGCCGGAAGUGCGUGACGGUUAACUGGCCCGUGUCAGAUAAAGAUCAACCCCGUGAACCGUGUAAGCGUCUCUUCACACCUGGUCGGCCGCGGGACCACACGUGUGUUAGACGUCCUCUGUUUUUAACGGAGCCAGUAUAUCUCUACGUAAGUAGUGCCAGUUUCCUUAGUGCUCCGGGCUUUUAGCUAGGACUCUAAGCCAGUAGAUAUCUAGUGUAUAUUCUAUUGGACAUGUAUUCGACUGCUAUAUCAUCACCUUAUCCUGACCUGUCCAGCGACCCGUGGUGAGAUACAGUGACUUCCACAGUGAACCAAUCCACGUGCUCUACAGCUAGGUAACUUAGCUUGCAGCAUAACCACAGAGGCGAACGUGGCCGGGAACAAAACAGGGUCGCCUCGAAACAUGGAACUAUGCUGCGUCCUGAUUGGCUGCUGAACGAAACAUGGAAAUGGGUCUGACCAUUCAGCGCGCAGCAAGCUUAUUCAUGGAACAAAGUUGGAAAAUUGACCUACCAGGACUACCAAUUUACACAACUGAAGAAACACUGACUUAGUCACGUGACGCCAACAGAAAGUUGGAAAACAAUCAUUUCAGAAUAACACCACCUAUAUAAGUAUAUAUAUCCCCUGCAACUAUAACAAAUUAUUGAUUAUGUAGUGUAAGGUACCUUCCAGCAGCUAUGCCAUGCUCCCGCAUCUCAAAACAUGUCCACUCCCUUCGAUUUCCUCCUUUUAAUAUCAAGAUUUAAUAGUGUUUAUAAAUGAAGCCUUAAAUACCUUACCAGGCAACCAAAUUGUUAGAGUUUUACAUAAACAGUUGUUUUAUCAUAUAGAUUCUACAAUUUUCAAAAAUGGUUAAUCAACACUUUCAAUUCAGUGAGUUUUAGCCCUAUUUUUUCUGUCGACUUCAGUACAGUUUCCCCAUAGACAAAAAAAGGUGUUUUCCAAAAAUUUCAGUGGUACAUGUAUUUUUCCAAAUGGAAAACAGUAAUAAGAUAACUACUAAGUAUAUUAAACUGCAAGUUAAAUGAAGUGUGGGCGGAGAGAAGUUUUUAUAAAUAGUUCAGUUCAUAGAACCAGUUUCAACUUUAAGAUGGAUAAGAUACAUAUAUACAUACAAUAGGAUCAGUCGAAAUACUAUAACAUACUAUUGGAGAGAUUGUAUAUUAACCUUAAUAGCGGUGAAAAUUUCACUUAAACUCCAAUUUCCCCGUUUCUUGAGACCAAGAUUCUUUAAACGUCUCUUCAAGGUACGGUAGCUGCAAAAUCAUUUCGAAUACUUACGCAUACAUCACAUCAAAUAAAAUCAAUCAAUCAAUUAUUCUCCAUCGAACUUUCGAACGCGAAGGAGCGAAAACACGAUGGCGAAGGAGCGAAAACACGAUGACGAAGGAGCGAAGUUCCAUCGCUCCUUCGCAAUCGUGUUUUCGCUCCUUCGCCAUCGUAUUUUCGCUCUUUCGCUCCUUUGCCAUCCUGUUUUCGCUCCUUCGCCAUCAUGUUUUCGCUCAUUCGCUCCUUCGCGUUGCAGGUAGGGCGUAAGAAUUGUACCUGCUGCCCCCAUUGCA